CCUACGGGAGGCAGCAGUGAGGAAUAUUGGUCAAUGGGCGGGAGCCUGAACCAGCCAAGUCGCGUGAGGGAAGACGGUCCUAUGGAUUGUAAACCUCUUUAGGCGGGGAGCAAUGCCGGGCACGCGUGCCCGGAGGGAGAGUACCCGCAGAAUAAGCAUCGUCUAACACCGUGCCAGCAGCCGCGGUAAUAAGGGGGAUCCGAGCGUUAUCCGGAUUGUUUGGGUUUAAAGGGUGCCUAGGCGGCCUUUAAAGUCAGCGGUGAAAGGCUGUGGCUCAACCCUGGCAUUGCCGUUGAAACUGGGAGGCUUGAGUAUGAUUGAGGCAGGCGGAAUGCGUGGUGUAGCGGUUAAAUGCUUAGAUAUCACGCAGAACCCCGAUUGCGAAGGCAGCCUGCCAAGCCAUGACUGACGCUGAUGCACGAAAGCGUGGGGAUCAAACAGGAUUAGAUACCCUUGUAGUC
rnacentral:rRNA from 1 species